UACGUAGGGGGCAAGCGUUGUCCGGAUUUAUUGGGCGUAAAGAGCUCGUAGGCGGUUUGGUAAGUCUGGUGUGAAAUCUCCACGCUCAACGUGGAGGGGCCACCCGAUACUGCCAUGACUGGAGUCCGGUAGAGGAGUGUGGAAUUCCCGGUGUAGCGGUGAAAUGCGCAGAUAUCAGGAGGAACACCCGUAGCGAAGGCGGCACUCUGGGCCGAUACUGACGCUGAGGAGCGAAAGCGUGGGGAGCGAACAGG
rnacentral:rRNA from 1 species